GCUCAAGUUGAUAAUCUUCGGCGUAAAGCGUGGUUAAAAGACCUGUUUAAACUAAGGCUGAACUCCCCCAAAGCCGUCAUACGCUCCCGGGAGCAUGAAACCCGACCACGAAGGUGGCCUUAAACCCUCUUGACCCCACGAAAGCUGUGAAACAAACUGGGAUUAGAUACCCCACUAUGCACCGCCAUAAACCUUGAUAGACUAACCACAACCUCUAUCCGCCAGGGAACUACGAGCAUAAGCUUAAAACCCAAAGGACUUGGCGGUGCUUUAGACCCCCCUAGAGGAGCCUGUUCUAGAACCGAUAACCCCCGUUCGACCUCACCUUUUCUUGUUCAUCCCGUCUAUAUACCGCCGUCGUCAGCAUACCCUGUGAAGGAAACAUAGUAAGCAAAACUGGUAAGACCCAAAACGCCAGGUCGAGGUGUAGCACACGAAAAGGAAAGAAAUGGGCUACAUUUCCUCUUACAGGAAAUACGAAUUGUGUCAUGAAACAACACAUGAAGGAGGAUUUAGCAGUAAGCAGAAAACAGAGUGUUCUACUGAACCCGGCCCUGAAGCACGCACACACCGCCCGUCACCCUCCCCAAAUCAAAAUAUAACUAUAUUUAAAAACCUACUAGAACUAAAGGGGAGGUAAGUCGUAACAUGGUAAGUGUACCGGAAGG
rnacentral:rRNA from 1 species